rnacentral:rRNA from 1 species
GACGAACGCUGGCGGCGUGCUUAACACAUGCAAGUCGAACGGUCAGACAGAGAGCUUGCUCUCUUGAAGUUAGUGGCGAACGGGUGAGUAACGCGUAAUCAACCUGCCCUUCAGAGGGGGAUAACAACGGGAAACCGUUGCGAAUACCGCGUACGAUUCAUGAACGGCAUCGUUUAUGAAUGAAAGGUGGCCUCUAUGUAUAAGCUAUCGCUGAAGGAGGGGAUUGCGUCUGAUUAGCUAGUUGGGGGGGUAACGGCCCACCAAGGCAAUGACCAGGAGCCGGUCUGGGAGGAUAACCGGCCACAUUGGGACUGGACCAAGGCCCUAACUCCUACGGGAGGCAGCAGUGGGGAAUCUUCCGCAAUGGACGAAAGUCUGACGGAGCAACGCCGCGUGAGUGAUGAAGGUCUUCGGAUUGUAAAGCUCUGUUAAUCGGGACGAGAGAGUUCUGCGUGAAUAAUGCAGAAAAGUGACGGUACCGGAAUAGAAAGCCACGGCUAACUACGUGCCAGCCGCCGCGGUAA